CAAAUGCCCAACCAAACAAAGCAAAUGCCACUACAUCUAAUGUCAAAAGUCAGAAGAUGAAUGAGCAUGGAAGACGCAAGGCGAAGUAAAGGAUGCAUGUGGGAAGCACGUGCCUGUUGAACACGUAAGCCGUUUGCAGCGACGGCGGAAGAAACUUCGAGUUUCACAUUGGACUAAAAUAGCGG